rnacentral:rRNA from 1 species
CAUACAUGCAAGUCGAACGCUUCUUUCCUCCCGAGUGCUUGCACUCAAUUGGAAAGAGGAGUGGCGGACGGGUGAGUAACACGUGGGUAACCUACCCAUCAGAGGGGGAUAACACUUGGAAACAGGUGCUAAUACCGCAUAACAGUUUAUGCCGCAUGGCAUAAGAGUGAAAGGCGCUUUCGGGUGUCGCUGAUGGAUGGGCCCGCGGCGCAUUAGCUAGUUGGUGGGGUAAAGGCUUACCACGGCAAUGAUGCGUAGCCGAACUGAGAGGUUGAUCGGCCACAUUGGGACUGAGACACGGCCCAAACUCCUACGGGAGGCAGCAGUAGGGAAUCUUCCACAAUGGGCGAAAGCCUGAUGGAGCAACGCCGCGUGGGUGAAGAAGGUCUUCGGAUCGUAAAACCCUGUUGUUAGAGAAGAAAGUGCGUGAGAGUAACUGUUCACGUUUUGACGGUAUCUAACCAGAAAGCCACGGCUAACUACGUGCCAGCAGCCGCGGUAAUACGUAGGUGGCAAGCGUUAUCCGGAUUUAUUGGGCGUAAAGGGAACGCAGGCGGUCUUUUAAGUCUGAUGUGAAAGCCUUCGGCUUAACCGGAGUAGUGCAUUGGAAACUGGGAGACUUGAGUGCAGAAGAGGAGAGUGGAACUCCAUGUGUAGCGGUGAAAUGCGUAGAUAUAUGGAAGAACACCAGUGGCGAAAGCGGCUCUCUGGUCUGUAACUGACGCUGAGGUUCGAAAGCGUGGGUAGCAAACAGG